GUGAUCUCAGAACUGUGAGAUCAAGCCCUAGGUCAGGCUCUCCAGUCAGCAGGGAAUCUACUUGAGAUUCUCUCCCUAUUACCUUUUCCCAGAUCUCUC